rnacentral:siRNA from 1 species
ACGUUCGGUUCUCCGUUUUGUCCU